rnacentral:rRNA from 1 species
CCUACGGGAGGCAGCAGUGAGGAAUAUUGGUCAAUGGGCGCGAGCCUGAACCAGCCAAGUAGCGUGAAGGAUGACUGCCCUACGGGUUGUAAACUUCUUUUAUAAAGGAAUAAAGUGAGGCACGUGUGCCUUUUUGUAUGUACGUUAUGAAUAAGGAUCGGCUAACUCCGUGCCAGCAGCCGCGGUAAUACGGAGGAUCCGAGCGUUAUCCGGAUUUAUUGGGUUUAAAGGGAGCGUAGAUGGGUUGUUAAGUCAGUUGUGAAAGUUUGCGGCUCAACCGUAAAAUUGCACUUGCUACUGGCAGCCUUGAGUCCAGUUGCGGUAGGCGGACUUCGUGGUGUAGCGGUGCAAUGCUUAGAUCUCAC